GGGUAGCCUAGUGGUUAGAGUGUAGAGGCGGCAGGGUAGCCUAGUGGUUAGAGUGUAGAGGAGGCAGGGUAGCCUAGUGGUUAGAGUGUAGAGGCGGCAGGGUAGCCUAGUGGUUAGAGUGUAGAGGCGGCAGGGUAGCCUAGUGGUUAGAGUGUAGAGGCGGCAGGGUAGCCUAGUGGUUAGAGUGUUGGACUAGUAACCGGAAGGUUGCAAGUGCAAACCCCUGAGCU